AGGGAUUGCCUCAGUAACGGCGAGUGAAGCGGCAACAGCUCAAAUUUGAAAUCUGGCUCCUUCGGGGCCCGAGUUGUAAUUUGCAGAGGAUGCGUCGGGUACGGGUGCCUUCCGAGUUCCCUGGAACGGGACGCCAUAGAGGGUGAGAGCCCCGUCUGGUAGGACACCCAGCCCGUGUGACGCUCCCUCGACGAGUCGAGUAGUUUGGGAAUGCUGCUCUAACGGGAGGUAUACUCCUUCCAAGGCUAAAUACCGGCUGGAGACCGAUAGCGCACAAGUAGAGUGAUCGAAAGAUGAAAAGCACUUUGAAAAGAGAGUCAAACAGCACGUGAAAUUGUUAAAAGGGAAGCGCUCGCUACCAGACUUGGGUUCGGCGGUUCAACCGGGGCCACGCCCCGGGGCAUUCCGCCGGCCCAGGCCAGCAUCAGCUUUCCGUCGGGGGUAAAGGCGUCGGGAAUGUGGCUCCCCUUCGGGGGAGUGUUAUAGCCCGUCGUGUCAUACCCUUCGGGGGGCUGAGGUACGCGCUUCUGCAAGGAUGCUGGCGUAAUGGUAGCUAGUGACCCGUCUUG
rnacentral:rRNA from 1 species